rnacentral:rRNA from 1 species
GUCUAUGGCCACGCCACCCUGAACAAGCCCGAUCCCAUCUGAUCUCGGAAGCUAAGCAGAGUCGGGCCUGGUUAGUACUUGGAUGAGAGACCACCUAGGAAGACCAGGUGCUGUAGGUG